rnacentral:rRNA from 1 species
AACGAACGCUGGCGGCAUGCCUAACACAUGCAAGUCGAACGAGACCUUCGGGUCUAGUGGCGCACGGGUGCGUAACGCGUGGGAACCUGCCCUUAGGUUCGGAAUAACUCCCCGAAAGGGGUGCUAAUACCGGAUAAUGUCUUCGGACCAAAGAUUUAUCGCCUUUGGAUGGGCCCGCGUUGGAUUAGCUAGUUGGUAGGGUAAAAGCCUACCAAGGCGACGAUCCAUAGCUGGUCUGGGAGGAUGAUCAGCCACACUGGGACUGAGACACGGCCCAGACUCCUACGGGAGGCAGCAGUGGGGAAUAUUGGACAAUGGGCGAAAGCCUGAUCCAGCAAUGCCGCGUGAGUGAUGAAGGCCUUAGGGUUGUAAAGCUCUUUUAACCGGGAUGAUAAUGACAGUACCGGGAGAAUAAGCUCCGGCUAACUCCGUG